rnacentral:lncRNA from 1 species
GAAGAUAUUUAGCACGAUAAACUGUUACAAGUAAUGUAAAGAGUAUUGUUAGCGUUCGGCAGGACUUGAGGAGAUUCCUGGUAGGAAUACCGAUCGUUGAGAGAUAAACUAAUAGGCGCUGUCACCGCCCUAAAUACCGGCGCUAGCGGAAACUUCGUACAUACCGGCGCUAGCGGAAACUUCGUACAUUCCGCGAUCUAACUGCACGUACAUUCCGCGAUCUCACUGCGCCGUCCAGACGGUGCCCUAAUGUCUAUCACUUAGCUACCGAAUAUGCAU